UAGUUUGAUCCUGGCUCAGGAUGAACGCUAGCGGCAGGCUUAAUACAUGCAAGUCGAGGGGCAUCGGGGGUAGCAAUACCUGCCGGCGACCGGCAAACGGGUGCGGAACACGUACACAACCUUCCUUUAAGUGGUGGAUAGCCCAGAGAAAUUUGGAUUAAUACACCGUAACAUUAUAGUCUGGCAUCAGGUUAUAAUUAAAGCUCCGGCGCUUGAAGAUGGGUGUGCGUCUGAUUAGGUAGUUGGUGCGGGUAACGGCCCACCAAGCCAGCGAUCAGUAACUGGUGUGAGAGCACGACCAGUCACACGGGCACUGAGACACGGGCCCGACUCCUACGGGAGGCAGCAGUAAGGAAUAUUGGUCAAUGGACGCAAGUCUGAACCAGCCAUGCCGCGUGGAGGAUGAAGGUCCUCUGGAUUGUAAACUUCUUUUAUUUGGGAAGAAAGGCAUUUUUUCUAAGAUGUUUGACGGUACCAGAUGAAUAAGCACCGGCUAACUCCGUGCCAGCAGCCGCGGUAAUACGGAGGGUGCAAGCGUUAUCCGGAUUCACUGGGUUUAAAGGGUGCGUAGGUGGGCAGUUAAGUCAGUGGUGAAAUCUCCGGGCUUAACCCGGAAACUGCCAUUGAUACUAUCUGUCUUGAAUACCGUGGAGGUGAGCGGAAUAUGUCAUGUAGCGGUGAUAUGCUUAGAUAUGACAUAGAACACCAAUUG
rnacentral:rRNA from 1 species